ACUGGCGACCGGCGCACGGGUGAGUAACACGUAUCCAACCUGCCGAUAACUCGGGGAUAGCCUUUCGAAAGAAAGAUUAAUACCCGAUGGUAUAAUCAGACCGCAUGGUUUGAUUAUUAAAGAAUUUCGGUUAUCGAUGGGGAUGCGUUCCAUUAGGCAGUUGGUGAGGUAGCGGCUCACCAAACCUUCGAUGGAUAGGGGUUCUGAGAGGAAGGUCCCCCACAUUGGAACUGAGACACGGUCCAA
rnacentral:rRNA from 1 species